UCUCUUCUCCGUCUUCUAGGAUAAACAGAAUGGAUAUUUAGUAGACGAGCAGUCGUUCGUUGAGAUUGAUCUGCUAUGCUCUCCCAUGUGCGUGCUGCUACAUUGUUGGGUUCAGUAGCAGCAGGCCAGCUUUUGGCGACGGUAAUGUUUUGAUUGUUGGGGGAGGAAACACUUCCUCUGCAAAUGGGUUCCCGCGUUUCCGAACUGAAAGGGCUGAUACCUGCUAGCUUUUACUAUACAAUUGAAGAAAGAUGAUUCUGAAAAGAUUGUUAGAUACGGAUUUUCAACACUGAUGAUAUUCCUGAUCACAACCAGGUUUGCGAUGAACUAUUCUAUUAUUGGGAAUCCCACACUGGGCUUGGUAUUGCUUUGUUUGAGAAUGGCUUUCAUCAUUCCUAGUUUUCUUCCAUCAGGCCAGAGACAUUGGAUAAAAGUAUUUCCAUCAUUUUUGUAGUUUUCCUCUUUUGAUGUCAGAAUUGUUUGAGCAGAGACCAUCUUUCCCCAGAUCAUAUUCUGUAGCAAGUGUUGGCGUGACCUCUGGUACUGCCCAUUUGAAUAUUUCAAUUCGUUUCAUAGGAGGAGUUCUGAUGCAUCAGCGAGCCUUCUCCUGGAAAUUUUCUAUGAAUGUCGUGAACUUUUCA